rnacentral:rRNA from 1 species
AUAAAUCUUCUUUUUUACAAUAUUCUUGAAAAACAAGGAGGAAAAUUAUGAAUGCAUUAUCAACUUUAUUCCCAGUAUUUUUUAUGAUCAUUUUAGGAAUGAUCGCGCGUAUUAAAAACUUUAUUAGUCCUAAACAAAAAGAAGGAGCCAAUCAUAUUGUUUUCAAUGUAUUGUUUCCUAUCUUAAUUUUUAAUGUUUUAUUUACUGCUAAAAUAAAAGCUUCAGCAAUAUUGAUUGUGCUAUAUGUUUUAGCUGCUUUUACACUAGCUAUGAUUUUAGGUAAAUUUAUUUCUAAAUUUACAGGAAAAGAAAUGGGUCAUAUCUCACCUUAUUUACUUACUACAUGUGAAGGAGGAAAUGUUGCAUUACCACUUUAUACAUCCAUUGUAGGUGUAGCCUAUGCAAGCAAUACAGUUAUUUAUGAUAUUGCUGGAACAGUGAUUGCUUUUAUUAAUAUUCCUGUACUUGUUGUGUAGCGCGAUGGAGGGACGCAGGAAGAUAGGCGGGCCGGGUGUUGGAUAUCCCGGUGCAAGCGUGUAGGAAUAUCCGGUAGGCAAAUCCGCCGGACGAAUCUGAGACGCGAGUCCGUGGGCGCAAGCCCUGAAGCCGUUGAGUCUAUGCUGCCUAGAAAAGCUCCUAAGUUUAUCCACAGCAAUCCGUACCGCAAACCAACUCAGGUGGGUGGGAUGAACAAUCCAAGGCGCUCGAGAGAACUCUGGCCAAGGAACUCGGCAAAAUAACCCCGUAACUUCGGAAGAAGGGGUGCUCUCUAGGGUGACAUGUUUAACAUAUGAAGCCCCGGGGAGCCGCAGUGAAUUGGUGGUGGCGACUGUUUACUAAAAACAUAGGUCUGUGCGAAGUCCUAAAGACGACGUAUACGGACUGACGCCUGCCCGGUGCUGGAAGGUUAAAAGGAGGGGUCAGCGCAAGCAAAGCUCCGAAUUGAAGCCCCAGUAAACGGCGGCCGUAACUAUAACGGUCCUAAGGUAGCGAAAUUCCUUGUCGGGUAAGUUCCGACCUGCACGAAUGGCGUAACGAUCUCCACACUGUCUCGGCCAGAGACUCGGUGAAAUUGCAGUCGCGGUGAAAAUUCCGUGUACCCGCAGAAAGACGGAAAGACCCUGUGCACCUUUACUAUAGCUUGACAUUGGAUUUUGGGCCUGCAUGUGUAGGAUAGGUGGGAGGCUGUGAACCCUGUACGCCAGUAUGGGGGGAGCCAUCCUUGAAAUACCACCCUUGCAUGUUUAAGAUCCUAACUUCUUCCGGUUAUCCCGGAGAAAGACAGUGUCUGGCGGGUAGUUUGACUGGGGCGGUCGCCUCCUAAAGUGUAACGGAGGCAUGCAAAGGUUCCCUCAGCCUGAUCGGAAACCAGGCGCUGAGUGCAAACGCAUAAGGGAGCUUGACUGUAAGAGAGACAUCUCGAACAGGAACGAAAGUUGGCGUUAGUGAUCCGGUGGUCCCGAAUGGAAGGGCCAUCGCUCAUUGGAUAAAAGGUACGCCGGGGAUAACAGGCUGAUCGCAUCCAAGAGUUCACAUCGACGAUGCGGUUUGGCACCUCGAUGUCGGCUCAUCACAUCCUGGGGCUGAAGCAGGUCCCAAGGGUACGGCUGUUCGCCGUUUAAAGUGGUACGCGAGCUGGGUUUAAAACGUCGUGAGACAGUUUGGUCCCUAUCUUCUGUGGGCGAAGGAGAAUUGAGAGGGCCUGUCCCUAGUACGAGAGGACCGGGAUGGACGCACCCCUGGUGAUCCUGUUGUCGCGCCAGCGGCAUAGCAGGGUAGCUAUGUGCGGAAGGGAUAACCGCUGAAAGCAUCUAAGCGGGAAGCCUGCCUCAAGAUAAGUUCUCCCCUCGAAAGAGCUGAAGGGCCCGGGUAGACUACCCGGUCGAUAGGCUGGAGGUGUAAGCGCGGCGACGUGCUCAGCUGACCAGUACUAAUAGCCCGAGCGGCUUAUUUUU